GAUUGACGUUUUCUCUCCCUUAGAUCAAAUCCAGUUCCUCUAUCCCCGCUUCUCUUCUCCUCCGCCGACUAUCCACUUCUCUUCUCUCCUACACCUGAAAAUUGCAGAAAUCUUGUUCUCUUAUCCGGGGAGGAAGGACCGUCCGAUCUGGGUGGUUGAAGUCACUGUCGACGGAGACGACGCAGCAAAGCCUGGUUCCGGCAGAGCUUGUUCGGUGAGCGGAAUUUUGUUGUCCGAGGUGGUGGUGUAGGCGGCCAUGGUUGUAAAGAACAAGAAGGCGAAGACGAAGAGCAUGAAGGUCUCCCGUCCCCCAUGCAUCUUUCUAAUCUGAUCGGGUUCCUCACUUUCUUGAAUUUCACUCUCAGUCUGCAAACCUGAAAUGUUUGGUGGUGGUGGUCUGUUUGUUUUGGUCUCAGAUUCAUCAUUGUCUUCCUCUCCGCCAAUCUCGUCAACUUCUUCAUCCUCAUAAAACUCAAAUUCAAGCAGCUCCAAUUAACACCCACCUCAAAAAUCUCGAAAACUCCCCCAAUUGAUUUUCCAAGGUUAGCUUGCCAACGUGUUACUCCUUGGAGGGCUUGUUAAUGUGCUUAGUAAAGUUGUGCUUAAAAAUGUUCAGUAGGGAGCAGCAACAACUUGCUAUGUGGCAUUGCAUCCACAAGCUAAAGGGGUGAGCGGUGAAUAUUUUUCAGACAGUAAUAUUUCCAAGCCAACAUCCCAAGUUUCAGCGAUUACCCAAUCUUCCUCCCCCGCCUCCUCUUCCGGUUUGAAGAAGAAGGUUGAGGAUAUUAUGCCAAUUGCUACCGGUCAUGAGCGCGAGGAACUUCAGGCUGAGCUCCAGGCAUAUCAAAAAGAAAAAAGGCCGAAGGUGAAGAAGAAAUAGAAAAAGAAUA